UGAUACCUCAAGAAAGUCUUCUUUCUUUCAGGAGGGGACUUGACAUUUCGGUAAAUUAGAAAGUAGAGGGUGCUGGUGCCUUUCACAAGAUGUAAAACGCUUCACUUGGUACUAAUGGCUCACCCACAUUUGUUGAUUUUUUUUUUUUUUCUGCCAAGAAUGGCUACAAUGCAGAAAAUUAGAAGAUGUAAGUGUUUAGGCCACUCACCAGUCAUGAGGAUGUGGACAUUUUUUACAGAAGUUCACUUUUCUUGAUCUGAAAGUGGAGACAAUCAUAUUUUUCCUACUCACAAAAGCUAACUUCCAGGAUGUUACGUUGAUAUAAUACAUGCAAAUAUACAAAAAAUAAUCUAUAAUUUAUAUCAAAAAUAUGCAAGAAAAAUAUACUUCAUAAAUAAGGAAGGUCAUUAUCAAUUCAAAACAGAAUAUUCCACUGGAAAUAAUAGUUUUUUUUUCUCUCUUCCUCAACCACUCCUCUGAUUAUUUUUUCUUACUUUCUCUGGCAUCACUCUACUCUCCCCAAACAAAAAAGAAAAAAGGAAGAAAGAAAAAAAUAAGAAAGAAAAACAAAAAGAAAGAAGAAAGAACAAAAGAAAGAAAGAAAAGAAAAAAAUGCUUUCCAUAUAUGUUUUUGUUUUGUUUUUAGAUUUUAUUUAUUUAGUUGAGAAAGAGAGAGAGAGAGCACAUGAGUAGGGGAAGGGGCAGAGAGAGAAGCAGAGUCCCCACUGAGCAGGGAGCCAGACUCUGGCUUGAUCCCAGGUUCCUGAGAUCAUGGCCUGAGCCAAAAGAAGCCAUUAAAUGACUGAGUCACACAGGUGCUCCUGCUUCAUUUGUCUGAAUAAAUUUGUGAUGUAACUGCUUGUUAAGAUGAUA
rnacentral:lncRNA from 12 species